rnacentral:rRNA from 1 species
GACGAACGCUGGCGGCGUGCCUAAUACAUGCAAGUAGGACGCAGUUGCGAACGGGUGAGUAACGCGUAGGUAACUGCCUAUUAGAGGGGGAUAACUAUUGGAAACGAUAGCUAAUACCGCAUACUAGUAGAUGGACCUGCGUUGUAUUAGCUAGUAGGUAGGGUAAUGGCCUACCUAGGCGCCAGUACAUAGCCGAACUGAGAGAGAGAUUGGCCAACCUGGGACGGACAGACGGCCCGGACUCAUACGGGGGGCAGCAGUAGGGAAUCAUCGGCAAUGGGGGGAAGCCUGACCGAGGAACGCAGGGUGAGUGAAGAAGGUUUUCGGAUCGUAAAGCUCUGUUGUUAAGGAAGCGGUACUUAACCAGAAAGGGACGGCUAACUACGUGCCAGCAGACGCGGUAAUUC